CCUACGGGCGGCUGCAGUGAGGAAUAUUGGUCAAUGGCCGGAAGUCUGAACCAGCCAAGUCGCGUGAGGGACGACUGCCCUAUGGGUUGUAAACCUCUUUUAUAAGGGAAGAAUCCAUGCUACGUGUAUCCUGCUGCCUGUACCUUAUGAAUAAGCAUCGGCUAACUCCGUGCCAGCAGCCGCGGUAAUACGGAGGAUCCGAGCGUUAUCCGGAUUUAUUGGGUUUAAAGGGUGCGUAGGCGGGUUUUUAAGUUAGUGGUAAAACGUCGGGGCUUCACCUUGAUUUGCCAUUAAUACUGUUAGACUAGAGUGCAGACGAGGUAGGCGGAAUAAGUGAAGUAGCGGUGAAAUGCUUAGAUAUAACUUAGAACACCGAUAGCGAAGGCAGCUUACCAGACUGCGACUGACGUUGAAGCACGAGAGCGUGGGGAGCAAACAGGAUUAGAUACCCCGGUAGUC
rnacentral:rRNA from 1 species